UUUCGUUGGGUUUCUAAUAAUUAGGUAGGUAAAUCAGAUGUCAAAAAUUAAUAAAUUUGUUAUGAAAAAAAAAAAAAAAAAACAAAUCAUCAAGAAAUUGAAGAAACGGAGGAUAAUCUUUCAAAUGUGCAAUCGAUCACUCCUGAACCAAAAUUUAGAUAUUUAUUUGAUGAAUUUUAUAAACUUGUUUCCAUUAAUGAUUCAAACAGCAUUGUGCCAAAAUUGUGCAAAAGGUUUAAGUAGAUCCUCAAGUUCAAGUGGAAAGUUGUUGAGCCAUAUUAAAUAUAAACAAUAAACACAACUCAUUGAUGACAAGGAUUCAAAGCAAAAUUCGGGAGAAACAACUGUUCAAAUUAAAAUUAUAUUCAUACAAAAAAAGUAUUCAAGGAAAAGGUAAAAAAGAUUAGUGAAUUGGUGUGCAAUUAUAUAGUAGAUGAAAUGUGGCCAUUAGUCACUUGUGAAAAAAGCGUUUUCAAAAUUUACUAUUAAGAUUAACUGGAUUAAAUGAUUCAUCUAUUCUUUCUAACAGAAAGCAUAAGUCAAAACAGUUAGCAGUGACAUAUAAAGCAAAUGUGGAUAUGUUAAAAACUCAAAUUGAAACCCAUAAUUAUGUUUGCUAAGUAGCAAAUAUUUGGAGCUCCAACAACAAAAGUAGUAUGGGUAUGACAUUUCAUUUCAUUGAAGAUACAUAUGAUGGAAAAUCAUGUUCUUGGCUGUCAACGAAUUAAAAGAGUUCAUAAUUAUUUAAAUAUUGUGGAAGUAUUAACAAAAAUAAUGGAUAAAUUCAAAAUAGAUGUAUCGAAAGUUAUACGCAUCAUAACAGAUAAUGCAAGUAACAUUAAAAUAUUUCUUCAUCAUCAUUACUUGCAAUACAGCAAACAAGAUUGCCAUGUAUAGGAAAUUUUUACGAAGAAAAUAAUUUAAGUAGAAGUAGCUCAAACAAUGCAAUGGAUAGUGAAAAUUCAGACAUAAAAAUAGUCUAAAUGAAUUCAAUGUAUUCAAGUACAAAAAAUGUUGAGAAAGACAAUGUUAUACUCUAAGUUUAAUUGCAACAUGUGAUUUUCAAAAAUUACAGAUGCCAACUACGUUUAAGUUUCAAAAUCUGCAUUUAAUAAACUGUCUAGAUUUUGGAACCUUGUUAGCAGGAGCUCAGUGGCUUCAGAUAAUGUUUUAAAGUUAAGUUUCCAGUUUCUGUAAUUACAAGAUGGAGUUCUUUAUUUGAUGUGGCACAAAAAGUCAUAAGUAGGGCCCAGAAUUAUAUGCACUAAAACGUACGAAAUAUGCAUGCAUUUAUGCAAUGGUUAUCAUUCAAAUAUGCAUC